rnacentral:rRNA from 1 species
AUACGUAGGGGGCGAGCGUUGUCCGGAAUGAUUGGGCGUAAAGGGCGCGUAGGCGGCGCGGUAAGUCUGGAGUGAAAGUCCUGCUUUCAAGGUGGGAAUUGCUUUGGAUACUGCCGCGCUUGAGUGCAGGAGUGGUUAUCGGAAUUCCCGGUGUAGCGGUGAAAUGCGUAGAGAUCGGGAGGAACACCAGUGGCGAAGGCGGGUAACUGGACUGCAACUGACGCUGAGGCGCGAAAGUGUGGGGAGCAAACAGGAUUAGAUACCCUGGUAGUCCACACUGUAAACGAUGAAUGCUAGGUGUAGGAGGUAUCGACCCCUUCUGUGCCGCAGUAAACACAGUAAGCAUUCCGCCUGGGGAGUACGGUCGCAAGAUUAAAACUCAAAUGAAUUGACGGGG